rnacentral:rRNA from 1 species
UUCUCGGUGCCCACGUUCAAUAGGACCCACGUCAAUCCAUCCCGAACUUGAUAGUGAAACUGUUGAAGAGAUUGUAAAGCUGCAAGGGGGGCUUUGUGGAUUUACAAUCUUGGUGCCGGGAA